CGAAAACAAAAAAGCAUUGUUCUCCCUCACUGAUUGCUUCUUGAACUGUAAGAAAUGAGAAAAAUAAGAUAAGGCACCACCGAAAUCAGAAUCCAUUAUUCAGCCAAAACAAAAAGCGAAUAUCCAAGGAGCUCCCUCUCGCUCGGUACGUUUACCUGCACGGCACCGGACGCGGUGGCCCACGCUUCUUAAUACGGCGGCCCCAACACUGACUUUGGACGACGAUUACGCCGUUAUCGUUUCCAAUAUAUAUAUAUGUUAAUUAUUUAUUGCAUACCUGCUUCCACGUCGUAACAGACACUCUUACUACGCGGAUCUCCACCUCCUCCUUCCCUCCCCUCCACCGAUCUGUUCGUUAUAUAACAAUAAAUUCUCUCUGUCGCUUUCGUCCCUUUUUACAUCAAAACGAGACAACAGAAGCAGCUGAAGAAGAAGAAGAAGAGUCUCUCUCUCUUGGAGGAGGAACAACUGAACAACAUGGAGAAGCCUUUGCUUGGAGAAACUAGCGGCGAUGGCAGCUUCAAGGAACGAGAUCAAACGUCGACGUUUAAUCGCCGCUCUGAUGCUAUCACUCGCGGAUCUCGUUUUCAGAAGGCUGCUGCUCUCGUCGAUCUGGCUGAGGACGGAGUUGGUCUACCUGAGCAAAUUCUUGAUCAAUCAAACUUUGAAAGCGUUGCGAAAUUCUACUUUAUCUAUACUCAAUUUGAUAUCGUUUGGACUCUCAAUUACUUUGCAUUGAUAGUACUCAAUUUCUUGGAGAAACCUCUAUGGUGUUUAAAUUAUCCUGCGCAUUCUUGUGAGAAUGCCAGGGACUACUACUUUCUUGGGCAGUUGCCUUACUUAACUGCCGCAGAAUCUCUUAUUUAUGAGGGCAUAACACUCGUUAUACUCAUAGCGAAUAUUUUCUUUCCAAUUUCAUAUGAAGGGUCCCGUAUCUUCUGGAGAAAUCCUUUGAAUCUGUUGAAGGUCAUUUGCCUAUCAAUUUUGGUGGCUGAUUUAGUGGUUUAUUCUCUCUAUUUGUCUCCUGUGGCCAUCGAUUCUCUUCCUGUCAGGAUUGCCCCAUAUAUAAGAGUUAUCCUUUUUAUCCUGAGCAUCAGGGACUUGCAGAAUGGCAUCAUCAUACUGGCUGGAAUGCUUGGAACGUACGUAAAUGUCUUGGCUCUGUGGCUAUUAUUUCUUCUGUUUUCCAGUUGGUUAGCAUAUGUCAUGUUUGAAGAUACCCAGCAGGGGAAAACAGUUUUUACUUCAUAUGGCACCACAUUGUACCAGAUGUUUGUUUUAUUUACAACAUCCAACAAUCCAGACGUGUGGAUACCUGCAUACAAGGAUUCACGUUGGUAUUGCUUGUUUUUUGUUCUCUACGUGCUACUGGGUGUGUACUUUGUCACAAACUUGGUCCUUGCUGUUGUAUAUGAUAGCUUCAAAGGUCAGCUUGCAAAACAAGUUUCUGCCUCAGAUAGCAUGAGGAAAAGAAUGUUGAUGAAAGCCUUCAACCUCAUUGAUAAGUAUAAUGUUGGAUAUCUUAAUAAGGAGCAAUGUAUUCAUUUGUUUGAAGAACUUAACAAAUACAGGACUCUGCCAAAAAUAUCAAGAGAAGAAUUCGAGUUGAUAUUUGAUGAGCUGGAUGAUACUCGUGAUUUCAAGAUCAACUUGGAAGAAUUUGCUGACCUUUGCAAUGCAAUUGCUCUUAGAUUCCAGAAAGAAGAUGUUCCAUCUAUCUUUGAGAAUUGUCCUUCAAUCUACCUUUCACCAUUCUCUGAAAAUCUGAAAGCCUUCGUAAGGGGCCCCAAAUUUGGCUAUAUAAUAUCCUUCAUUCUUCUUGUGAAUCUGAUUGCCGUUAUCAUCGAAACAACGGUAAUAUAACAGAGCUAAUCCUUAACAAUUUUGUCGUCUUUUCAUGAUCAAUGUAUAGAGUUAAAUCUCCUAGAAAGUUUGAUUUCUACAUAUUCAAAUUCUGCUAAUAGUUUGUUUGAUAUAAAUGAAUUCCAGAAGGCUUGAUGGAGUUAAUUGUAAAUCCACGUGGUUGGUAUGCACACAUAUUCAUUUUGAAUUAUACCCCAAUAAUUACAUGGAAUUGGUUAUGCUUGAGCCAAAUUCUACAAGACUGGUAAAAUUUGUAAAUGAAUCUUAUGUUAGUGAGACUAUAAAUCUGACUGACUGUAAAUCUGACUUAAGUAAAAUUGAUUGAAUUUGCAAAUAAAUUCUACAUUUAAUGUACAUAAUGUAUUGAACACAGGGAAUUCAUCUACAGAUAAACUUAAGCAAGCGAUGUCUAAGAGAAGACCAAAAUUAAGAAGCUUUAGGAUCAAUGAGAGGCAUUUUAGAAUCCUACUGUGCUCUGACAUAUAUGAAAAAGGAUAAUUAAGACUUUACUUAUUAUCUGCUUGAAAAGUUGAUAUUCUUGUCUUGGUCACAAAACCAAAAAUUUCAAACAAUCACGAACAUUAAUGUAGUUACUUUCUUAAUGACUUUGAAUAUCUAAAUGCUGACUCAGUUUUACAAACCUUAUAUUGCAGCUUGAUAUAGAAAAUAAUUCUGCUCAAAAAGUGUGGCAAGUGGUGGAAUUUGUCUUUGGUUGGAUCUACGUUCUGGAAAUGGCACUAAAAGUAUACUCUCUUGGUUUUGAGAACUACUGGAGGGAUGGUCAAAAUCGAUUUGAUUUUCUGAUCACAUGGGUAAUAGUUAUUGGAGAAACUCUAACUUUUGCAUCGCCUCAUGGACUCACUUUUCUUUCAAAUGGAGAAUGGAUUCGUUACCUUCUCCUGGCAAGAAUGUUAAGAUUGAUAAGGUUGUUGAUGCAUGUCCGAAGUUACCGAGCUUUUGUUGCCACAUUCUUAACCCUCAUACCAAGUUUGAUGCCAUAUCUGGGCACAAUAUUUUGUGUCCUAUGUAUAUAUUGUUCUCUUGGUGUACAGGUACAUUGGGUGCUUUCUUCACCUGCUUACCUAUCAAAUCAAUCAAAUUGCACUCUAUUUCAUAGGAUUUUGUUUUCAUUGUCAACUUAUGCUUCCCAGUAAUAGGAAGAUCUUUGGUGGAAUUGUCAAUGCUGGGAACCCCAAUCUGGAAGACACAGAUCUUGCUGAUUCCGAGUAUCCUUUAUGGCUUUAUCUUAAACUGAACAUUUUCUUUUUUCAUGCAACUGUAAUACUUUGGCACUGUAAGACAUAAGUAGCCUCAAAUCUGCCUGUGGAUUGCUGAAGUAUAAUUGUGAGAGGAUGUCCUUUCCCGUGAUCAUAUAAAGAAUUAGCUAAAUAUUUGCAUUUUCAUUUGGACUACUUGCCUUUAUUUUUUUUUUUCUUUUUUGUUCCCCUGAUAUGGUUUUAUUUAGGUUACUGUUGGUUCCUGAAAACUCACAAUCCUUGACAAAAUCAGUUAUAUACUUUUCAAUUUUAAUGACUAUCCAAAUGGCAUGGUGACACUUUUUAAUCUGCUAGUGAUGGGGAAUUGGCAAAUUUGGAUGCAGAGCUAUAAGGACUUGACAGGAAGCUCUUGGUCCCUUGCAUAUUUCAUCAGCUUCUACCUUAUAACUGUUCUCUUGCUUUUGAAUUUGGUUGUUGCUUUUGUCUUGGAGGC
rnacentral:misc_RNA from 1 species